AUUGAACGCUGGCGGCAGGCCUAACACAUGCAAGUCGAGCGGAUGAAGGGAGCUUGCUCCUGGAUUCAGCGGCGGACGGGUGAGUAAUGCCUAGGAAUCUGCCUGGUAGUGGGGGAUAACGUCCGGAAACGGGCGCUAAUACCGCAUACGUCCUGAGGGAGAAAGUGGGGGAUCUUCAGACCUCACGCUAUCAGAUGAGCCUAGGUCGGAUUAGCUAGUUGGUGGGGUAAAGGCCUACCAAGGCGACGAUCCGUAACUGGUCUGAGAGGAUGAUCAGUCACACUGGAACUGAGACACGGUCCAGACUCCUACGGGAGGCAGCAGUGGGGAAUAUUGGACAAUGGGCGAAAGCCUGAUCCAGCCAUGCCGCGUGUGUGAAGAAGGUCUUCGGAUUGUAAAGCACUUUAAGUUGGGAGGAAGGGCAGUAAGUUAAUACCCUGCUGUUUUGACGUUACCAACAGAAUAAGCACCGGCUAACUUCGUG
rnacentral:rRNA from 1 species